rnacentral:rRNA from 1 species
UGCGUAGGCGGCGCGGAAAGUUGGGUGUGAAAUCCCUCGGCUCAACCGAGGAACUGCGCCCAAAACUACCGUGCUCGAGGGAGAUAGAGGUGAGCGGAACUUAGGGUGGAGCGGUGAAAUGCGUUGAUAUCCUAAGGAACACCCGUGGCGAAAGCGGCUCACUGGGUCUCUUCUGACGCUGAGGCACGAAAGCUAGGGUAGUGAACG